rnacentral:lncRNA from 1 species
ACUAACUGUGUUUUCAACUGAUUCGUACUGGAAUUAAAAGUAAAAUUAUGUCAUUGAAAUAAAUUAUUUCAAAGAUAUAAACUCAGUCUCAACAGUUAAGUGAGAGCCUACAGAUGCUGGGCAAGUGCUUCCUCACUGAACUUGAAGCCCACUAACUGAAAAGGCAGCAGGAGUCACCUGUUAUCCCAAGUGCCUUGUUAAAGGGGAAGGUUCGGAAGCAACACCCAUCACUGAGAGGCAAGAUAAAUUUAAUGCCCAAGAAGUGGUUUUCCCAUGAGUCAAGAAGAGGCAUAGAGUUUCAGAGAGAGAGAGUUGCACAAAAGAGUCAAAAACAAUGAGGACUUCAUGAAGUCUUAUCUCAAGUGCCUAUGAUGCCAACGAAGCGUAUGCCUUCAAAGAAAAAUAGCACCCCUGACUAAACAAGCAAGCAAAUGACAACAAAAUAAUACUACUUCAUGUCAACAGCUAUCUAAAGUAGCUUAAAUUCAUAGGCUUUAAAAAUCAUGGAUUAAAAAUAUGGAAAAAUAAAGCAAAGAAAAUAAAGCAAAAACAUAGAGAUAGAUUUGUAACACAAAGCCAUAAGGUCCUGUAUGAUUGCCAGAAGUCAUUCCUAAAAUGAGACAUUACUUUCUUCAGUGCCAACAGGGAAGAAGGAACGGCUAAGCAUGAGAUUCACUGCUGAAUGAUGACAAAGGCUGUUUUAGGCAUGUGAUAGGACUUUGCAUUGCAGCCAUAUAUGUGAUUUCACAUGUGGAAGUGUCUAACAGCUUAUUACGUGUCAACCUAUUAGACCUUUGUUUUAAUGAUUACAAUUUCAUGAAGACAAAACAGUUUCUCUGUCAUUAAUGACUUUGUUUCAACACAUCAGCUUUUCAAUUUUCAAAGAGUAAAGCAUUAACCUUUGU